rnacentral:tRNA from 1 species
GGACCUGUCGUCUAGCCUGGAUAAGACGAGAGCUUCCUAAGCUUUCGACCCGUGUUCAAAUCACGGCAGGUCCG